AGAGUUUGAUCAUGGCUCAGAACGAACGCUGGCGGCAGGCUUAACACAUGCAAGUCGAACGCCCCCGCAAGGGGAGUGGCAGACGGGUGAGUAACGCGUGGGAAUCUACCCAGAUCUUCGGAACAACUGAGGGAAACUUCAGCUAAUACCGGAUACGCCCUACGGGGGAAAGAUUUAUCGGAUCUGGAUGAGCCCGCGUUGGAUUAGCUAGUUGGUGAGGUAAUGGCUCACCAAGGCGACGAUCCAUAGCUGGUCUGAGAGGAUGAUCAGCCACACUGGGACUGAGACACGGCCCAGACUCCUACGGGAGGCAGCAGUGGGGAAUAUUGGACAAUGGGCGAAAGCCUGAUCCAGCCAUGCCGCGUGAGUGAUGAAGGCCUUAGGGUUGUAAAGCUCUUUCAGUAGGGAAGAUAAUGACGGUACCUACAGAAGAAGCCCCGGCUAACUUCGUGCCAGCAGCCGCGGUAAUACGAAGGGGGCUAGCGUUGUUCGGAUUUACUGGGCGUAAAGCGCACGUAGGCGGAUCGUUAAGUCGGGGGUGAAAUCCUGGAGCUCAACUCCAGAACUGCCUUCGAUACUGGCGAUCUUGAGUCCGGAAGAGGUGAGUGGAACUCCUAGUGUAGAGGUGGAAUUCGUAGAUAUUAGGAAGAACACCAGUGGCGAAGGCGGCUCACUGGUCCGGUACUGACGCUGAGGUGCGAAAGCGUGGGGAGCAAACAGGAUUAGAUACCCUAGUAGUCC
rnacentral:rRNA from 1 species